GGGGUAACCGUUUUCGUUUUUGAGAUACGAGCUGUUGAAGUUAACAGCAUCAUACACCAAAAUUACAAAGGAUAUAUAGGGAAAAUCGUGAAAUUCGGCAGGAAUUGUUACAUUUCCAAGAUUUUCUAUUAUAUUAGACAAUCGAUUUUUUUUUUAAUUUAUGAGACGAUUCUAAAAUGUCUGAGGAAUCGAUUGGUGCAAAGAAAGUCCUUAGCAACCGUGCUACUUUUCAAGCUAUACCCUGUUAAAGUUGAAUCUUGAGUGUAAAAAGAACAAAAAACAACGACAACGUUAUUGACGUCGCCGCAACAGUUACGACGCUUCAUAUAGUCCAUAAUACUUGUAUGAAAUAUAUACCGUUUUGUUGGAGUUCGUGUUGCUCGGUCUUAAGUUCUUUUAUGUUACGUUUUGUGUACUAUUGUAUUGUAUUUGUCUAUUAUAUUCGGGUGCGUGCGGAGAUCGCCAAGCUAGAAAACGGUUGACAUUUUCUUCAUUAUAAACUAGAACUAUUUUCGACUUCGGUGCCUUAUUUUUGUUAAAAUCUAAACACUGCGACGUGUUUUCAAAAUCUUUGUUCUCAUAAAACUUCAUUUCAUCAACGUCUCUUCUCAGAAUAUCAGCCAUCUGUCUGGCACAGGAUAACAAAUCAAUAUUUAAGUAAAUUUAAGUUGUGUGGUAAUUCUUAGUACAUUUGGGUAAAUUAAUCUUAUCUUUGUGCCGCAUAAGCAUCUCUAUAAUUCAACACAUCCCUGAGCCACGACAUUAUAUAUUUUAUGCAUCGCAUGCGCUUCUUUUUAUCACAAUCCAGACCGGCUAGUAACCGUUGUAUAACUUUACACGUCUGAAGACGAAUAUUUGCGUGAAACAUUUUUGUAUGAUUUUUAUUUCUGGAAAUCAAUCUGAAAUCUACAACAGUCCAUUUCCGAAAGUCGGGCUGGACCUUUACUUUUAUGUGCAUUCGGGAUUUACACAAAUUGUAACCCGAAUAAUUCAGUCGUAUUUUUCAGCUGAUGUACGAAUGCUACAUUUCUCGUGUGGGAGAAAAUCGGACAUGGAAAGGGCUUUCUAUUUCUAGCUGUUCGGAAUUCGCGGAAACAAAUUUUUGGCAUUACGGUAUUGAAUCAAUAGAGAUACCAAUUAUUUCUUUUAACAAAUUCGAA
rnacentral:lncRNA from 1 species